rnacentral:rRNA from 1 species
AUUGAACGCUGGCGGCAGGCCUAACACAUGCAAGUCGAACGAGUGGCGGACGGGUGAGUAAUGUCUGGGAAACUGCCCGUUGGAGGGGGCUAACUACUGGAAACGGUAGCUAAUACCGCAUCCCAUCGGAUGUGCCCAGAUGGUAUGAGCUAGUGGGUGGGGUAACGGCUCACCUAGGCGACGAGCCCUAGCUGGUCUGAGAGGAUGACCAGUAACACGUGAGAUGGGACACGCUCCAGACUCGGACGUGAGGCACGAGUGGGGAAUAUUGCACAAGGGGCGCAAGCCUGAUGCAGCCAUGCCGCGUGUAUGAAGAAGGCCUUCGGGUUGUAAAGUACUUUCAGUGAGGAGGCGGUACCCGCAGAAGAAGCACCGGCUAACUCCGUGCCAGCAGCCGCGGUAAUUC